rnacentral:lncRNA from 1 species
GGAGGAUCAGGGACGCCUGGUGGACCCCUUUGAAGGCCAAGAGACCAUUUGGGGUUGCGAGAUCGUGGGUUAGAGUCCCACCUCGUGCCCAGUUGCGAGAUCGUGGGUUCGAGUCCCACCUCGUGUUUUGUUGCGAGAUCGUGGGUUCGAGUCCCACCUCGUGUCUUGUUGCGAGAUCGUGGGUUCGAGUCCCACCUCGCGUCUGGUCACGGGAUCGUGGGUUCGAGUCCCACCUCGUGCAGAGGGUCUCAAUUGGCCGGCCUUGGAGAGGCCAUCUGAUUCUUCUGGUUUCUUUUUUGUCUUAGUCUCGUGUCCGCUCUUGUUGUGACUACUGUUUUUCUAAAAAUGGGACAAUCUGUGUCCACUCCCCUUUCUCUGACUCUGGAGCAUUGGAAGGAGGUGCGGGUCAGAGCCCACAACCAGUCGGUGGAGGUCAGAAAGGGUCAGUGGCAGACCUUUUGCGCCUCCGAGUGGCCAACGUUUGGAGUAGGCUGGCCACCUAAGGGUGCUUUUGACUUGUCACUAAUCGUCAGGAAAAUUGUUUUUCAGGAGGAAGGGAGUCGAUGUGAAAUCCGACCCUGUCAGGAAAUAGCGUUUGGCUUGGCUGGUUGUACAAGUCCAGGCGUGGACGAGUGUGCUUAGAGAUACUGGUGUCUUCUUUUUCUCUGUUGCUAUCUUGUUUUUGUUUGUGGUUUUUGUCAUGAGACACAGACACUGUAUGUCAGAGGUAAAGUGAGAUCCCUCCCUGUCUGUAUGUCUGUGUGUCUUGUUCACUUGUGUGUCCUCCAUUGGACCACCUUCUGAUUCUGUUUUGUUUUUGGUUUGUCUGGUUUCAGGUCUGGUUUUGGUCCCAAGGAGUUGACUGAUUAUCUUGGUUUGGUUUUAGGCCGGUCUCAGGUUCUGGGGCCUUCCCAUGGAGACAGGUCCAUUUGGGUUGGUCAUAGUGACAGUAAGCUUCUCUGGAAAUCGCAUGUAAGAUGCCCUGUAUUAGUCUUGUUUGUGUUUGUCAUUUCUGUGGUACUGUGAUUCUAUAGUGGUUGCCUGAAAAACGGUUUCUGUGUGUGUCUUUUGUGUCUCUUUGUGUUCGGACUUGGACUGAUGACUGACGACUGUUUUUAAGUUAUGCCUUCUGAAAUAAGCCUAAGAAUCCUGUCAGAUCCCUAUGCUGACCACUUCCUUUCAGAUCAACAGCUGCCCUGCCUCCCACUCCAACUCCAGAGAGCAGCCAGCGGGUCACAGUGGUCCCGCCCAUGGACCUGGAGCCUAGGGAAAAAUGAGCUCGGAAAUCCGGAGCAAAAGAGGAGUGGUCCCUGAAAAGUCAGUGGCCUGGAUGUUGUGGCUGCUAAAAAGGAGAGGAGGCUGUUCGAGUGGCCGGCCAAGAGCGCUGCAGGUUCCCAGGCAGCUUCUCAUUCCCCUGUCCCUCCCAUCCCGUCUCUUGUUAACAGAAAAACUGCUUUCACUUUAAGAUAAGUGCCGGUUGCAGCCAGCUGUGAGAGCUGCACUCCCGUCUCUGCUCUAAAGUUCCCUCUUCUCAGAAGGUGGCACCACCCUGAGUUGCUGGCAGUGAGUCUGUUCCAGGUUCCAGUGAGGGAGGCAUCCGCCCACUUGGGACUUCUGUCCAAGGUAAGGAGCACCUGUGAGUCUAACUGCCGGGCUCUGAUGGGGGUCUCGUCUCUGUGGGACUAGAAAGUGUCCCAACAAUCUGACCAAGGUAACAGAAAGUUACAAAAGAUAAGAAAAAUAAAAUGUUGGCCACAAAAGUCAGGAAAACUAGAAAACUUAGAUAGUACCUGGCAACAAAAAAAAGCUUUUGGCUAAAGAUCAACGUGUAUAAGAGAUAACAAAAGGGGUGCUAACACAGAAGCUGAGUCCUUAAAAGAGUCCGGUGGCCUACCUGUUGAAGCAGCUAAAAAAGAGACUGUGUUUCAUACUCCUCCACUGACCAGUGCAAAACAAGCUAAAAAGUUCCUGGGCACUGCGGGCUUUUGCAGAUUGUGAAUUCCAGUUUUGCUGAGUUAAAGAGAUAAACAGCCCUUCGUAUAUAAAAAAUAAAGAACAAUCUUACAUGGCCUUGGAUGCUAUUGAGACUGCCCUAAUGUUAUCCCCAGCUUUGGGACUCCUAGAUGUGACUGAGAACAAAGGUAUUGCCAAAAGAAGUUCUUACUCAGAGAUUGGGACCCUGGAAAAGACCUGUGGCAUACUUGUAAAAAAUUAGACCUGGUGGUUGUAGGAUGGCCUGCUUGUCUGCACAUAGUGGCUUCUGGUCAAGGACGCAGAUAAAUUGACUCUGAGACAAAACUUGGCACAUGUCCUAGAAAGUGUGGUUCAGCCCCCAUGACCGAUGGCUGACUAACGCUCUUAAAAGCAUUAUCCAACUGUUCCCCUGACCGAUGGACACAUUGUCAGAGCUUUGACUGAACGAGUGACCUUCGCUCCCCCUGCUAUCCUCGAUCUCACUACUGCCUGAGACUUCACCUACUCAUCAUUGUGCUGACAUUCUGGCAGAAGGAACUCAUACUCGAAAUGAUCUGAAGGAUCAGAUCAGCCUUGGCCUGAGAGUUUGAGCUGGUACACGGAUGGCAGUAGCCUGGAGGUUGAGGGUAAGCGGAAGGCGGGGACAGCAGUGCAGUGGUGGACAGAAAGCAAGUGAUCUAGGCCAGCAGCCUCCCUAAAGGGACUUCAGCCCAGAAAGCUAAACUUGUGGCUUUAAUACAAGCUCUAUAUAUACAGACAAAGAGAGCUGUUGACAUCUGCAGAGAAAGACCUAAGAUGCUGUGGCUAAAAAGAAAUCAGAUGGCAAAUCUAACCGCCCAGGCAUCCUAAAGAGCAAUGAUCCUGACAGUCUGAAGACUAUCAAGUUAUAGACAAAUUAAGACUGGUAAAAGAAACCCUGUAUAAAAUAGUAA